GGAAUUUUCCGCAAUGGGCGAAAGCCUGAUGGAGCAACGCCGCGUGAGCGAAGAAGGUCUUCGGAUCGUAAAGCUCUGUUGUAAGGGAAGAACAAGUGCGGUAGUAACUGACCGCACCCUGACGGUACCUUACGAGAAAGCCACGGCUAACUACGUGCCAGCAGCCGCGGUAAUACGUAGGUGGCGAGCGUUGUCCGGAAUUAUUGGGCGUAAAGCGCGCGCAGGCGGUCUCUUAAGUCUGAUGUGAAAGCCCCCGGCUCAACCGGGGAGGGUCAUUGGAAACUGGGAGACUUGAGUGCAGGAGAGGGAAGCGGAAUUCCAUGUGUAGCGGUGAAAUGCGUAGAGAUAUGGAGGAACACCAGUGGCGAAGGCGGCUUCCUGGCCUGUAACUGACGCUGAGGCGCGAAAGCGUGGGGAGCAAA
rnacentral:rRNA from 1 species